rnacentral:rRNA from 1 species
ACUCCUACGGGAGGCAGCAGUGGGGAAUCUUGGACAAUGGGGGCAACCCUGAUCCAGCCAUGCCGCGUGAGUGAUGAAGGCCUUAGGGUCGUAAAGCUCUUUCGCCUGUGAAGAUAAUGACGGUAGCAGGUAAAGAAACCCCGCUACNCCGUGCCAGCAGCCGCGGUAAUACGGAGGGGUUAGCGUUGUUCGGAAUUACUGGGCGUAAAGCGCACGUAGGCGGAUCGGAAAGUUGGGG